GGCUAUGAUAGGCUGUCCUACCUGCCUGUCAAGGUGUUACGUCGCGCAUCCUGUUCGCGCAGAUGUCAUACGUCAGCAACGCGUUCCCGCUGUUGUUCAGAUCGAGAGACAAUGGAAGGCAAACAGGAGCUCGCCAAACAAAUAAAACAAGAAGAAGAAGAGCAGCAGUGUCCUAACAUCCCUUCUGAACCGACAAGAAGCGGCACAGGCAAACGCUCGAGAAGAAAAACAGUCUAUGAAAAAGCUUUGACGAAAAGACGUCUGGAGCAGGAAAGAGCUAAAACCCGAGUUACCAUCGGUGCUGCUUUUCCACGCUGGAGACAGCUGCGAGAGUCCAAGUGUCUGAAAACCGAUGCCAUGGUUGCACUUUUUCUUCUGGACAGGUAAUCACACGGUUGUGUUUGCUUUUGAUGUGUUUUGUUUGUAAUGAAUUAUUUAGCUUAAGCAGUUUGUGUGUCUUUAUGAAUGAGCUCAUUGCUAACAGCACCUAGGGUCUAAAAGGAAACUAUUUUUAUGUUUUCAAAGUUACGAGAAAAGUACAACAUCCACACCUUCGGUGCAUGAAUUCAUAAAGCCACCGCCAGAGGUUUCCACCGUUUUUUCUGAGUCUUCCUACGAACAGCCUGAAAUCAAGUUUCUCAUCAAGUGGGAAGAGGAGGAGAAACCUGCCUGAGAAAUGAGUGUGUAUGAGGAGAGAGAGGAUGAGACUACUGUUGACGCUCAGAGAGCAGCAUCUCCAGGAUUCAGCUGUGUGUCUAUGAAGAGUAACAACUCCAUGCAUCUGCCCCCUUUUCUCAGUGGUGUUGACACUCAGAGAGCAGCAUCUCCAGGAUUCAGCUGUGUGUCUGUGAAGAGUAACAACUCCAUGCAUCUGCCCCCUUUUCUCAGUGAUGUUCACACUCAGAGAGCAGCAUCUCCAGGAUUCAGCUGUGUGUCUGUGAAGAGUAACAACUCCAUGCAUCUGCCCCCUGAACUCAGUGAUGUUGACGCUCAGAGAGCAGCAUCUUCAGGAUUCAGCUGUGUGUCUAUGAAGAGUAACAACUCCAUGCAUCUGCCCCCUUUUCUCAGUGGUGUUGACACUCAGAGAGCAGCAUCUCCAGGAUUCAGCUGUGUGUCUGUGAAGAGUAACAACUCCAUGCAUCUGCCCCCUUUUCUCAGUGAUGUUCACACUCAGAGAGCAGCAUCUCCAGGAUUCAGCUGUGUGUCUGUGAAGAGUAACAACUCCAUGCAUCUGCCCCCUGAACUCAGUGAUGUUGACGCUCAGAGAGCAGCAUCUUCAGGAUUCAGCUGUGUGUCUAUGAAGAGUAACAACUCCAUGCAUCUGCCCCCUUUUCUCAGUGAUGUUGACACUCAAAGAACAGCAUCUCCAGGAUUCAGCUGUGUGUCUAUGAAGAGUAACAACUCCAUGGCUAUUCCCCCUUUUCUCAGUGAUGGAUCUGCUGUGAACUCUGGACCUGGCAGGAAGAGAAAGAAAGCAGCAUCUCCAGUAUCCAACUGUGUGUCCAUGAAGAGAAAUAGAAUGAUCCACACAUCAGAAUCCCUGAAUGAUCCACACAUGUUCAGGACUGGAGCAGUGCGCUUUGACCCUGUUGGUAAAAAAGCUGUUUCCUCACCGACCGGCACAUCCCCCUACUGUCAGAACAACUUCAGUCAUCAUGACACAGUAGCAAACCUGCAGCUCAAUUUAGACCAACCAAUGCAUGUUGAUCUGCAGAGAAUCAAAGACCAGCACAAAACCAGCAUGAAGAACAAGUCACAGUGAGAUUCUGAAAAUGUUCCUGACAGGAAAGUCCAGAACUCAUUGUGAGGAUGUUCCUCUGGAUGUGUUUCUGAAGGGAGCAACGAAUAAAGCAUUGAGCAGUAAAAAUGGACAUCUGGAUCUUUUCCUUCGAUUUCUUCAUGGCAUCUCACUGGAGUCCAAUCAGAGACUCUUACAGGAUGCACUGAUACACACAGAGAACAACCCAGAGAGCAUCAAGAACAUAAUCAACAACCUCAAACGAGGUCAAAAAAACAAUGUUUGUCCUGAAAGAUGGAUGAAUCUGUCACACUGCUUGAUUGAGAUGAAGGAUAACUCUGUAGUUGAAAGAGUGCAGGUGCUUUUAAAAUCUAAAGCAAAAAGUAAAAGUCUUUCUCUUGCACAAUGCUCAACUUUGGCAAACAUGAUCAUGAUGUCGGAGGAGGUGCUGGAUGAGUUAGACCUUAAAAAGUAUAAUAUCAAAUCAAAAGAGGGUCGAUGGAGACUGUUCCCUGCUGUGAGAAACUGCAGAAAAGCUCUGUGAGUAUGCGAAAAUGAACAUAUUUACAUUUGACUUUUUUUUGGGGGGG
ensembl:lncRNA